ACAGCAGCAGCCGCGGGAAUACGUAGGUGGCAAGCGUUGUCCGGAAUUAUUGGGCGUAAAGGGCUCGCAGGCGGUUUCUUAAGUCUGAUGUGAAAGCCCCCGGCUCAACCGGGGAGGGUCAUUGGAAACUGGGAAACUUGAGUGCAGAAGAGGAGAGUGGAGUUCCACGUGUAGCGGUGAAAUGCGUAGAGAUGUGGAGGAACACCAGUGGCGAAGGCGACUCUCUGGUCUGUAACUGACGCUGAGGAGCGAAAGCGUGGGGAGCGAACAGGAUUAGAUACCCCCGUAGUCCCUGUCUCUUAUAC
rnacentral:rRNA from 1 species